GAUGAAUGCUGGCGGCGUGCUUAACACAUGCAAGUCGAGCGGAAAGGCCCUUCGGGGUACUCGAGCGGCGGACGGCUGAGUAACGCGUGGGAACAUGCCCCAAAGUGAGGAAUAACUGCCCGAAAGGGUGGCUAAUGCCGCAUAUGAUCUUCGGAUUAAAGGAUUUAUCCGCUUUGGGAGUGGCCUGCGUAUGAUUAGGUAGUUGGCGGGGUAACGGCCCACCAAGGCGACGAUCCGUAGCUGGUCUGAGAGGACGAUCAGCCACACUGGGACUGAGACACGGCCCAGACUCCUACGGGAGGCAGCAGUGGGGAAUAUUGGGCAAUGGGGGAAACCCUGACCCAGCAACGCCGCGUGAAGGAUGAAGGCCUUCGGGUUGUAAACUUCUUUGAUCGGGGACGAAACAAAUGACGGUACCCGAGGAACAAGCCACGGCUAACUACGUGCCAGCAGCCGCCGUAAAA
rnacentral:rRNA from 1 species